UUCCCCCAGAUCUCGCGAGAGUGCUUAUCAAACGACCCUCGAGCUAGAUCCGCCCGAGGCGCCAAACUGCACGCACCCUUCUGCCAGUGGGCUAGGGCCGCGCGGCACGCUGUGCUGGCGAACCGGACUCAAAUUAGCAAAUGUGCCAGAGGGUUACCCCGAGUGGAAAUUCAACUUCUUUAUAUUACAAGAUGAGGACCUGAGACACAACUGGAGGAACUAUCCAGUGUCCCAGCAUUCAGUGGUUGUUUACAUUUUAAAUGUAUCAUAAACAUCAUAUAGUUGGCUUUUUUUAAUUUAAUAAUCAUAUUUAUUUCUUUUCAUUGAAGCAAUUAUUCAUUUAUAUUUGUGUAAUUACUCGUUUGGUCUUAAAGCUCUUCUAUUUUGCCUAUUUGUCUCAUCUAUUUAAUUUUCUCUCCUUUCUUGCCUGCUUUCUAAUGAUCCAUUCUAGUAAUUUGGAAGUUUCAUUUUAUUUUUAUUCUUUUAGUAGUUACCCUAAAAGUUAAAAUAGGCAUUCUUAAUACCUUUUCACUUCCUCCAGAUAACACAAAGAAGACUCCUUUUAACCUCUCCUGAAGUCUUAUGCCCGUUAUAUGUGUUUUAGUUCUGUGUUUUUUGAAGCUAAACUUCACGUAAUGCUCAUCUAUUUAGCACUUUCUUUUUUCUUCAUUCCUUCUGGAAUCUCUGCCUUUCCAUCUGGAAUCAUUUCCCUUUUGUCUGAAGUUUAAACUUUAGGACAGGAGUCAGCAAUCUACAGCCCACAGGCCAAAUCCAGCCCACUGCCCAUUUUUCUGAAUAGUUCAUUGGAAUGCUGCCAGGCUCAUUCAUUUACUAUUGUCUAUGGUUGCUGUUGCACUACGACAGCAUUGUUUGAGUAGUUGUGACAGAGAACAUACUGUAUGGCCAGCAAGACUGAAAUAUUUACUAUCUAGCAUUUUACUGGAGUUUGCCUAACCUCUUCAGAGUUUGCUUUUGUGUUGGUCUGCUAGUGGGGAACUGUCCCAUUUUUUACCUUAAAAGCUUGCUCUUUUGCUUUUCUUAAUUCUAGAUGGGUAUUUUUAUUGGGUAUAGAAUUCUAGGUUUGAAGUUUCUUCAACAUGUGCACACCAUCUUCCUGCUUAACUUUGCUCCUGUGAAGUCAGUUUUCAGCCUCUUACUCCUUUGCAGAUAGUUGGCUGCUUUAAAAUUUUGUUCUUUUUGCUCUUGGUUUUCUGCAAUUUUACUAUAAUGUCUCUGGGUGUGGAUAUAUAUAUAUAUAUUUUUUUUUUCUGCUUUUAGGAUUCAUUGAGCUUUUAGAAUCUGUAAACUUGUCUUUUGUCAAUUCCAAGAAGUGUUUAGCUGUUCUUAAAUACUGUUUCUCACUCAUCAAUUUCUAGACCUCCAAAUAAGUGUUUAUUAGACAAUUUUCACUGUAUCGUCUAGAUUUCUUUACUCUGCAUUUUCUACCUUGUCUUGACAAGCUGCCUUCUGGUACUUUUGUUUUCUGACAAAUUUUAUAGUUCACUAGUCUCCUUUCAGCUGAAUCUAGCCUGCUGCUAAAUCCAUAAAUUGAAUUAUUUUUUUCAGUUCUAUAGUUUUUAUUGAGUUCUUUCUCAAGUCUUCUGUGUCUUUUUUUUUUUUUAAAUAGUUUCUGGUUCUUUGAUAAAAUUUUCAAGCCUGGCUAUUCUUUGAACUUAGUGAACAUAAUUGUUUUGUAAUCUGAGUUUACUAAAUCUAAUUAUCUGAAGUUUUUUGUAGUUUUGUUUCUGUUGUCUAUUAUUUCUGCUGUUUUUCACUUUUGGAGUCUUGUUUUCUUGUGUGUCUGGUUAUCUUUAUGUGCUGAACACGUAUCUGAAAAAAUAUGUAUGGGAAUAGUAUAAGCCUAAGAUCUAAAAAAAAAAAAAAAUUUUAACGUUUAUUUUCUUGAGACAGAGCAUGAACAGGGGAGGGUCAGAGAGACAGGGAGACACAGAAUCCUAAGCAGGCUCCAGGCUCUGAGCUGUCAGCACAGAGCCUGACGCAGGGCUCGAACUCACAGACCGUGAGAUCAUGACCCGAGCCGAAGUCGGACACUUAACCGACUGAGCCACCCAGGGGCCCCUUGCCUAAGAUCUAAUAUCUUCCUCCAGAGAAGAUUUUUAUUUUUCUCUGUCGGUCACUGAAGACCUUACCAGUCAAGGACCACCAUAAUACAAGUUCAAGGUCUCAAUUCCUCUUGACCACCAAAAUGACAAAAAUCUGGGCUGAAAACCUGGCAAGGACUUUUUGCUUACAGUUCAUCCUUUAGGGUGAACUUGAGGAUUCUAGAUGCAAGUGGAUGUGGAUUUUUAGAGUACCUACCUUGAAGGGCCCUAGACUUUGCCUUUUGCAUCCCUAACCCUACAAACCCACCAAAACUACAGCUCAGUUUUAAUACUGAAGCUGUUACUACAAAACUGGCAAAUGCCCUGAAGCCAAAUAUGUGUCUUUAUGUGCUACGUUUAUAAAGGACAAAAGUGGUUCCGGAAAGAGAUGCAAGAGGUACAAAGUCUGGACCUAGAGUAUUAGAGAUUCAAGAGAUUCUUAGGAGGUAGAAUCUAAUUAACUCAGUGGUGAUUUAACUGAGGGUAUGAAGGAGCAGAAGCAAUCAAGAAUGACUCCCAUUUUCUGGCUUGAGCAACUGGCACAAGUGGCAGUGGCAGAGAGAUUUAUAGGGGAAGAUGAUGAAGUUCUAUUUUGAAUGCAUUGAAUUUAAGAUGCCUUUGAAUCAUCUAAGUAGUGUUGUCUGUGAAGCAGCUGGACAUACAGGUUUACAGCAGGGCUUGUCUGGAGUUAGCCUGUUGAUGAUAAUUGAAGCCAGGGAAAACAUACCAAGUUUGAGGUAACAACCUAGAUUUGAACCUGAGGAACAUCAACACAUAUAAGGGAUAUGCAGAAGACGAAACUGAAGACAAAUGGCUAGAGCAAGAGAAGAAAACAAGAAUGUGAGGUCCUCGAAGCCAUGAGAAAAUAAUGGUGAACAGCGUCAAAUGCUUCCUAGAGGGGCACAUGGCUGGCUCAGUAGAACAUGGGAAUCUUCGUCUCAGGGUCAUGAAUUCAUGACCCAUGUUGAGAGUUUACUUAAGAAAAAAUAUGCUCCCUAGAGAUCAAACAAGAUAAGGAAUGAUCCACUGAGUUUAGUGACCUGAAGGUCAUUUGUAAGCUUGCAAGGCAGUUCUGGUAGAGGGGCAGAAACCAGACUACAGUGGAUUGAGGAUAAUUGGGCAGUGAAAAAUGCAGGAAAUGGACACAUGCAACAUGGAUUAUUAACCUCAAAAUCAGUAUGCUACUCAAAAGAGUAUACUGUAUGACUGCAUUUGGAUUAAAUCCCUGAGCAGGCCAAACUAAUUUCUGCUGACAGCAAGCAAGUCAGUGGUUGCCUGGGAGGUGUGGGGAAAGGGAACUGGAUUGACUUCAGAGGGGCACAGGGCAGCUUUUGGGGGUUACAGAAAGGUUCUUUAAAUUUCAUGGGGUGGUUCUUACACAGAUGUAUUCACUUGUCAUUAUUCAUUGGCCUGCACACUUAAAAUGGGUAUAUUUAUUAUAUUAUACUUCAAUACAGCUUAUUUCAUAUUUUAAAUGAAGAGGUAGUAACUGAAAAGGCAUUUGUGUAAGAGGUUGAGUAUGUUUUUAGAUGAAAGAGCCUGGAGCAUAUUUAAAUGCUACUAUAUAAUUCAGUGAGAGGAAGCAGUUGAAAAUAAAGGAGUGAGGGUAAAAGAGACAGCAAAGUAAAGGAAUGUGACAAAGCAUGUAGCACAUCAAACACUAGAGCAGCAAAUUAACACAGUGCAAAAACCUCAGUUCUUGGAACUCCCAAGAUAGAAAGUUGAAUAGCUUGUGGUCCAAAAUCAUUUCCUUCUAUUUCUAAAACUGAGUUCAACUAAUUCUUUUUGGUAAGACCAUUAGUAAAAGGUACAGGUUUGAACAUACAUGGAUAGAAAUGGCCUGAGCAGGGGCACCUGGCUGGCUCAGUCAGAAGAACGUGCGGCUCUUGAUCUCAGGGUUGUGAGUUUGAGUCCCAUGUUGGACAUGGAGAAUACUUAAAAAUAAAAUCUUAAAAAUCUAUUUAAAAAAGAUUUGCCUGAGCGAAUCAAAGUAAAAAAAAACCCUGUCUAUAAUCCAGAAGAUAGGUGGCAAUGGGGUUUAGAGAAGGGUUCAUGACAAAAGAAGGAAAGUAUAGUAAAAUGAUUAAAAUAGUAAGAUUUUCUUUUUGUCAAGUACUCCUUAUUUACUGUGCAAGUAUUUUAUGUAUUUAUUACAUACAACCACCUUGUUGGCAUUCCCAUUUUACAAAAGAGGGAACAAACUCAGGUCAACUAAUCUGCCCAAGAUAACACAGCUGGUGAAUUACAAAAGUGGGUUAAAACCUAGGUCUCUAUCACUUCAAACCCAUAAUAAAUAUCUUACCCUGGUUAGGCAAUUCUGCCUCAAACUUUAUUUUUUUUAUAACUUUAAUGUUUAUUUAUUUAGAGAGAACACAAGCAGGAGAGGGGCAGAGAAAGAGGGAGACACAGAAUCCAAAGCAGACUCCAGGCUCUGAGCUGUCAGCAGAGAGCCUGACGUGGGGCUCGAACUCAAUAGCUGUGAGAUCAUGACCUGAGCCAAAGUCGGAUGCUCAACUGAGCCACCCAGGCACCCCAAACUUUAUUGUAUAUAUGAUACCGUAACAAAGGAAAUCAAAACAUCAACAUACCCUAGUCCUUUUGCUUUCUUUAUUUUAUAAAAGUAAGACAUCUUCAGAUAAUGUACUCAUACCUGGUGCACCUGGGCGGCUCAGUAGUUGAGACUCUGACUUCAGCUCUGGUCAUGAUCUUGCGGUUUGUGGGUUUAAGCCCCGCAUCGGACACUGGGCUAACAGCAUGGAGCCUGCUGCAGAUUCUCUCCCUCCCUCUCUCUC